UAGCCGUAAACGAUACUCGCUAGGUGUCGGCCACGGUGCGACCGUUGUCGGUGCCGUAGGGAAGCCGUGAAGCGAGCCACCUGGGAAGUACGGCCGCAAGGCUGAAACUUAAAGGAAUUGGCGGGGGAGCACAACAACGGGUGGAGCUUGCGGUUUAAUUGGAUUCAACGCCGGAAAUCUUACCGGGACCGACAGCAACAUGAAGGCCAAGCUGAAGACUUCGCCGGAUUAGCUGAGAGGAGGUGCAUGGGCGUAGUCGUGU
rnacentral:rRNA from 1 species